UUGCUCUGCAGCUCAUCUUUGAAGGGAUCCGUGGCCCUGGCAUCGAAGGGGACAUUGCCAUCGAUGACGUGUCCAUUGUGGAAGGGGAGUGCAUGAAGUCAGACCAACCGGCCAACAAUUUACGAUCAGGUGCUGUUGGGACAUUCUCACAUAUACGACUCCUCCCACUUCUCCUCCUCAUGUCUGUCUUAAGUCAUCAGAGGUGACCUUAUCCUGGCAGAGGCUACAAAAGAUUCACCAGGCACUGGCAUGAAGAAGAAGAGUCUUUGUAAAAUGGACAUUUUAAAAACAAACUACCAAAGAUUCCUCCACUGAACUGACUCGAAAGUUAAAUAAGUACGUAAAUAAAUAAUUAAAAAAUGAACAAAACAAAAAAAAGGUAAUUAAGAAAGCACUGGGGACAUAAAAGGCAUCACGAGCCACGUGUGAGGAUGGGAUCUGGCCUAAGGAAGGAAGAGACCUUCAGGUGCUUUUGUGGUCAAUGAUGAAUUCAGCAUCAUCUGGUUGAACUCUCGGUGAAGAGCUAUAGAAACCCUUGUCAAAGCACAAAAAGUCAUGGCUGGUUUUGUUUCAAAUGAAUAGUUUGCUUGUUACCAUGGAAACCUAAUGGCCUGCCAAAAAGAAAAAAAAACACACACACAAAAAAAAACAAAAACAAAAAAAAGGAAAGAGGAAAUAAAGAACAAAAAAAAAAGAGAGAGAGAGAGAAACACCUCACUGUAAACAGGGUAUGUGAAGAGCUGGCAUUCAUUUCCCCCUGCAGAAGGUUUUUUAGUGUGGAGUUAAACAAAUGUAGGCCCUUCCUACUUUGGCUGUCGCCUCCCUUAGGGAAUCACCCGGGAUCAGAGCCGGUUUCAGACGUUCCUGUUUUCAUUUCUCAUGGCUCUGCUUGAGAACUGUGUGUGCUGUCUCCUCUUUGCAUGCAUUUCCCAGCCACCAGGACGUGCCACCCUGGGCUUUACACGUUACACGGGAUUUUUCCGGGAUUUUCGGAGUUUGCUUGCGGCCACUUCGCCCCCUCCUCCCCUCUCCCUCCUCCCCUCCUCCCCCGACCCGAGUCAUCCGUUCCGACGACGAAGGGAAGAAACCAAACCACCGUCUUUUAUAAAUUGCCAUGGAAACCAAGUGCCUUCAAUGAAACAAGCCUGAGUUAAAACAAACAAAAAAACGAACAAA